ACGAACGCUGGCGGCGUGCUUAACACAUGCAAGUCGCACGGAAAGGCCCUGCUUUUGUGGGGUGCUCGAGUGGCGAACGGGUGAGUAACACGUGAGUAACCUGACCUUGACUUUGGGAUAACUUCAGGAAACUGGGGCUAAUACCGGAUAGGAGCUCCUGCUGCAUGGUGGGGGUUGGAAAGUUUCGGCGGUUGGGGAUGGACUCGCGGCUUAUCAGCUUGUUGGUGGGGAAGUGGCUUACCAAGGCUUUGACGGGUAGCCGGCCUGAGAGGGUGACCGGCCACAUUGGGACUGAGAUACGGCCCAGACUCCUACGGGAGGCAGCAGUGGGGAAUAUUGCACAAUGGGCGGAAGCCUGAUGCAGCAACGCCGCGUGCGGGAUGACGGCCUUCGGGUUGUAAACCGCUUUCGCCUGUGACGAAGCGUGAGUGACGGUAAUGGGUAAAGAAGCACCGGCUAACUACGUG
rnacentral:rRNA from 1 species